rnacentral:rRNA from 1 species
CUUGGCGACCAUAGCGUUUUGGACCCACCUGAUUCCAUCCCGAACUCAGAAGUGAAACGAAACAGUGUCGAUGGUAGUGUGGGGUCUCCCCAUGUGAGAGUAGAACAUCGCCAGGC